GCGGAGCAUUGCGAUUCUUAGUUGGUAGAUCUAUUUGUCAAUUCCGAGAACGAACGACACUCUAGCCUAUCAAAUGGAUAUGCGCGGAAUUCCCAAGACCUCAUAACCUUUUUAGAGGGACAAGAGGCUCCUAGCCGCACGAAACAGAGUAAUAACGGAUCUGUUACGCCC
rnacentral:rRNA from 1 species